UCGGUGCUUGCCGCGAUUCCGAUCGUGUUCUUCGUCCUUCUCCGCCGCCGCGGUGUGCGCGUUUUUCAUUCAAGAAAAGGCUUUUUUUUCGGGUCUCCGCGUGAAGAAAUGGAACUUUCCUUCGAUUUUAUUUUGAUUCGCGGGCCGAGCCGGAAUUUCGUGGGGUGAAUUUCUCGGUGGAAUUUGGCGCGCGCGUGUGUGGUAAGUUACGGGGCGAUGCGGACGAAAGUGGCCGGAAGUGCGGACGAAGCGCGCGCGCUUGGCGUGGUUUUUUCUUCGGGCGUAGCAGGCGGUGGUGCGCGACUUAUGCCGGCGUCGACGCCGGAAGUGACCUCGCGGGAGCGUGAUUCUGUGUCGGUUUUUCGUGGGGAGCGUGUGUGAAUCUGGCCAGGGAAACGGUUCCGACGAAAAUGGAGGGAAGCAAAAAAAAAACGUGCUUUUUCUCGUCGUGAGUCGGAAAAGAAAAAUGUCGGCGUGACCAGGAGCAGCUCUCUUCAAAAUGGUGCCACUCUUUCGCAGUAUAUUCUUGUGGCUUGAUGUGUUAGAAAUCGUGCUCAAAUCACAGGAGUAUACUGUGAGAGAUCGCCAGGACCGGUCGGCCGGCGGAACGCGUUUCCGGUGGGAAAAUCCUCGCCAUGAAGCCAACAGAAAAUGAUGAUGGCGACGACGGAGUAGGCGAUGACGAAGGAGGGAGAGAGUGAGGACGAGCUGCCACUUCCGGGAGCAUAUGAAAAGCAGCAGCAGCGUGUUCUUCUUCCCGGUAAAUUCCACACCCAACCCUGGCAGAGUGAGAGAGCGAGAGGGGCGCACUGAAAAUGUGUGUGCGUGUGUGUGUGUGUGUGAACGAAACAGGUUUCGGCCGUGCGAGCGGGACGGGGCGUCAUCACACUCACCGAACACGUGUUGAAGGCAAAUGGCGGGAUUUCGUCGGACGAAUCAUCCUCUCUUCCUGAAACGAGUUGGGAAUCAAAAACACGAGGGAAGCGCGCGGACCGCAAAUCGAGAUGGCGGAGGGCGCCGAAGGCGCGGUAGGUAAUUUUUGAAAACAUAAAAGUUUAAAAAAAUAAACGCUUUGAUGUAUUAAAAAAA